UGUAUGAACAUAGUAGCUUGAGCAUUUAGGUAACUGAAGAAAACACUUUUUCUUUUGUAGGAUAUGUUCUUCAAAUAUACAUGGAAUAAUUUUUGCAUACACAAGUGGAAAUUUGUAUUGCACUGAUUCUUGCCAGUCCUUUUGAGAACACAGAAAAUGGCACAAUUACUGAUCAAGAGUCCACUGGUGACAAUUUGUUAUUGAAACAUCUUUUUCAAAAAAUGUCAGUUAAUAGAACGAAUACUUGAAGCCUGGGAAAUGAAUGAGAAGAAACAAGCUGAGGGAGGAAGACGACAUGGUUACAUGGGACACCUCACCAGGAUAGCUAACUGCAUCGUGCACAGUACUGACAAGGGUCCCAAUAGUGCAUUAGUGCAGCAACUUAUCAAAGAUCUUCCUGAUGAAGUGAGGGAGCGAUGGGAGACGUUUUGCACGAGCUCCUUAGGAGAAACCAACAAGAGGAACACGGUAGAUCUAGUAGGUUUUACAGGUUACAUUUGUUUUUUUUCAUUGCUUUUAGUCUUUGCUGUUUAUUCAGAAAAGUGUAUAAGAUUUCCAUGUGGCCCAGUGAGUGUGGGCCCAUGAUAACCUCAUACCUCUUUCCCAGGAAGAGGUCAGUAUUCACAAUAUUCUGCUGAUUUCUCCAGUCACCUCCUAAUUACCUGUCUUAGAUUGAAAAAAAAAAAAAAAAGGGGGGGGCACUAAAAAGCACCAAUUUCCACUAUAUCCCACAUCAGUUUGCACCUCUCCUGAGCCUGCUGUCUAAGUACCUCAGCACCAGCCCCAGCCUCCCUUGGGCUUAAGGCAGGGUUGCUGCCUUAAACCCCAGAUAACCCUUAAGCUUUCUGGUAUUAUCAAGUUGAGCUUACUCUUAUUUUGAAUAAUUCCCAGUUUGGGGGGAUUUGUAGAUGACUUUGAAACUCCAGCUUUAAAAUCUUUAACAGCCAGGGAAUAAUGGCAUUGAUAAUUUUUGAAAAAUUAUAUUGGACUUUGGAAUGUAUUUUUUUUAAUGCAUUAAAUUUUAAGGUAAGUUUUGCUUUGUUUUUGCUUUUAAAGAAGGUGGAAAGCAUUUUUUUUACAAGCAUGUGCCAGCUGAUAGUCAAGGUGAAAGCCUUGACCUAGAAGUAGUGCUGUCCAGCAUUUAACUAAUUAUUCAGAACUCAGCAACUCUAGUGUUGAAGCUCUAGUACAUAUUACCGCCUCACUUUAGCAUCUAAGUUCCCUGGCAGCCUUAUCUGUUCUGCGCAUAAUUCAAAAAUG